GUGAAUCAUCAAAUUUUUGAACGCAAAUUGCGCUUCCUGGCAUCCCGGGGAGUAUUUGUGUGUGAGGGUCAGUAUUAAUCAACAAUCGGUUUAUUUACCAAUUGUGACGUUUCCGGAGUUUGUGCUAUUUUAACAUUUUUGGUUAAGAGGCUUAAAAUUUACCUUUCUUGCGCAUUUUUAAUCGUACAUAUUUUUUUUUUUAUUCUUCUGUUCU
rnacentral:misc_RNA from 1 species